UAGAAGGCUUGUGAUGUAUUAAAUAGCUGAACGCUGGAAGGAAAAGAUAAACAUGCUAAUCACGUUCAAGAGGAGAAAAAAGUGAAAAGUUCUCCUUUCUAUCUUCAUACGUCACCAGCAGAGUUACCUCAAGGACACCUAACUGCACAAGGUGAUCUCCUUAACCAGACAGGACUCAUGCCGGAUUACAACAAACUAUGCAAAGGGAAAAUGAAGGAAAACCUCAGCGAUUUCUUGACUUCAGUGGAAGGUAAGAUCGAUGUAAAAACCAUAAGCGAUGCUGAGGGACUAACUGGAUUGUUAAGGAAGCCUCCCUCCAUGCAGCGAGACUUGAACCCGCUUUCCUACGAACAGAUCUCAGCUUUCAAGUUGCAACCAGGGAGGCUGGGGAGAUGUAAAAAAUUCACUUUCAUCCAGUCACCGCAAGAAGAAGAAGAGGAGGGAUCAUGAAGACGGUGAAGGUAAGAAGCACAGGCGGAAGAAAGAAAAAGCGGGAAAAUCACGAUGUCACCUGAAGCGUUACUCCUGAAGCGUUACUCCUGUAGCGCUGGGAGAGAAUGCUGAUCUGCGUUAAAGCAGUAUUGAAAUAAUUAAUAACGAUUUUCUAAAGUGAGGUCGGGUCUAAUUGCUGUAUUAUUGCACAGCUUACCUCAAACAAUGACAUAUCGGGUAUUUUUGUAUUUCAGAUGAAAAAUCCACCUUUUUUUGUUGCAAAAUUUCCACAUUUAUUUUGGCCUAAAUGGAGUAUUUAGUACUCAGAGUACUUCAUAAUGUUGAGAAUGUCAUGAUCUGACCCAAUCAGAAUGUAAUCUUAAAUCUUAUUGUAUUUCAGUAUUCAAAGAUUUACUGUAUCAAUGAAGUAUGGUCAAAUUCCUUUUGGCAUAAUGCCAAAUAUAUUCUGAUUAACUGUAAUCCUCUACCAGAUCUACAUGAGUCCUUGUUUUGCAAUAUGAGCCAAUAAUAAACGGGUGUUUGACUGUACAAAUUUUAUUUAUUCCAUUAUUACACCAUUAGUAAUUAUUACACCAUUAGUAAUGGUUCUCUACACAUUGUAAUUGAUUACAUAUCGAUCUACGGUCGCAGGAAAGAAUACCAAUGUAUUAUGUUCUAAGUGUGCUCCUU